UACGUAGGGGCCGAGCGUUGUCCGGAAUUAUUGGGCGUAAAGCGCGUGUAGGCGGCUUGGUAGGUCUCGCGUUAAAGCCCGCAGCUCAACUGCGGAAUCGCGUGGGAAACCACCUCGCUAGAGUCCGGAAGAGGAGUGUGGAAUUCCUGGUGUAGCGGUGAAAUGCGCAGAUAUCAGGAAGAACACCAGUGGCGAAGGCGGCACUCUGGGACGGUACUGACGCUGAGACGCGAAAGCGUGGGGAGCGAACAGG
rnacentral:rRNA from 1 species